GAUGAACGCUGGCGGCGUGCCUAAUACAUGCAAGUCGAGCGAACAGAUGAGGAGCUUGCUCCUCUGACGUUAGCGGCGGACGGGUGAGUAACACGUGGAUAACCUACCUAUAAGACUGGGAUAACUUCGGGAAACCGGAGCUAAUACCGGAUAAUAUAUUGAACCGCAUGGGUCCAUAGUGAAAGACGGUUUUGCUGUCACUUAUAGAUGGAUCCGCGCCGCAUUCGCUAGUUGGUAAGGUAACGGCUUACCAAGGCAACGAUGCGUAGCCGAACUGAGAGGGCGAUCGGCAACUGUGGAGAUGAGACACGCUCCCGACUCCGACGUGAGGCACCACCAGGAAACCUACGGCAAGGGGCGGAAGCGUGACGUAGGAACGGCGCGAGAGUGAGGCAGAGCUACGCAUCGUAAAACGCUGUUAUGAUGGAAGAGCAAAUUUGUAAGUAACGAUGCGCGUAUGGACGGUACCGAAGCAGAAACCCACGGCAAAUUCCGU
rnacentral:rRNA from 1 species